UCUUCCCUCUGGCGGCGUGCCUAAUACAUGCAAGUCGAGCGAACGGACGAGAAGCUUGCUUCUCAGAUGUUAGCGGCGGACGGGUGAGUAACACGUGGAUAACCUACCUAUAAGACUGGUAUAACUUCGGGAAACCGGAGCUAAUACCGGAUAAUAUUUUGAACCGCAUGGUUCAAAAGUGAAAGACGGUCUUGCUGUCACUUAUAGAUGGAUCCGCGCUGCAUUAGCUAGUUGGUAAGGUAACGGCUUACCAAGGCAACGAUGCAUAGCCGACGUGAGAGGGUGAUCGGCCACACUGGAAGUGAGACACGGUCCAGACUCCUACGGGAGGGAGCAGUAGCGAAUCGGCCGCAGUGGGCGAGAGCAUGACGGAGUAACGGCGAGUGAGUGAUGGAGGUCUCCGGAUCGUAAAACUCUGUUAUUAGGGAAGAACAUAUGUGUAAGUAACUGUGCACAUCUUGACGGUACCUAGUCAGAAAGCCACGGCUAACUACGUG
rnacentral:rRNA from 1 species